ensembl:lncRNA
CGGAACAUCAGAUCCAUAGGGUCACCCGGACUCGGGUUGCACAGUUUGGGGGAGAAGACCUCCCAGGUGACGAGGUGUCCUUCCUAUUGGAUCUCAUCAAGAGGUGCGUGAUGUCAGCUUGUCCCGCACACAGUGACGCUGACCUGGAUCGGCAUUCGGGUGGGGACACCAGGCGCCCCCAGUGAGGCUGCACACAGAACUUACUGGCGCUGGGAGCAGGAGCCACAACCUGAAGCCUUGCCGCCACUGGGAAGGAAGGCCCCUGAAGCCUCCCGAAGCCCCUCCAAAGCCAGGAGAGGUGCUACAUUAGCAACAAUCAGGUGGACAUCGUGGAGAGAGCGUAAUCAUUCUCAAUUCACAGUGUCUCUAUAUUUGUAUUAAUAAUAACACUUGUCACUUAUUACUGGCUUACCAAGUGCCAGGCACUUUAUAGACCUUAUUUCACCCUCUCGGGAAUUCAUUUAUUAUUAUUCCCACUUUCCUGAAGAGGAGAUUGAGGGUGAGGGAGGUACAGACACUUUCCUAAGGUCGUUGUAGAGCUGGUAAGUGCUCGGCCUGCCGUGCCCGCACCCGUUCCUCUGGACAGUGUUGCGUCCCCACACUCUGCACACGUGCCCAGGGAGCUCCCGGAGAGAAGACGAGACAGCUUCUCACAAAGGAGAGUCAGGUUCUGGCUUUCCCACCCCUCCCCUUGGCUAUGAGCAGAGGAAUUGUUUAUUUUCCCAAAGUGCAGCCUUGCAAAUAGCUCCCAGCCCACUGGCCCAGGUUUCUGGAUUGGGAGGCGGACACAGAAGGCAGCUGAAAGUGCUUCUCUCUCACUGCGGCUCAGCAAGGAGAGGUGCGUCGGAGAGCUCUUCAUCUCCUAGUGUUUGCAUUGCUGCGGCCAGGGUAGGUGGGGAAUGAACCAACGAGACUCCACGCUGGGGAACUUUUAUAUCUGAAGUGUAAGAGCAAAGGGCUCUCUCUCUCUCUCUGUCUCUCUUUCUGUUCCUGUCUCUCUCUGUCUCGGUCUCGGUCUCUGUCUCUCUCUCUUUGCCUCUCUGUCUCUGUCUCUCUGUCUGUCUCUGUCUCUGUCUCUCUUUCCAAGCCCUCUGUUAUACAUAUGGUGUUGGGCACGAAUAUUUCCAGACUUUUCCAUCGUCACCUGGACUCUGGAAGAGGAGUAUCUUACAGACUUCAGGUCUGGCCUACCCAUUUUGUAGAUGGGAAAGCUGAGGCAUUGAAACGUCUAGGCUCUGGGCUGCUUGAGGACACCAAGGUGUCGACUUGUCCCCAGAGCCCAGCAAGGCAUUCAGCACACAAUAUACAUUUCACUAAUAGACAUUGCAUGAGUCAAUGAAUGAAUGAGAAGUUUGGCAGUUAAAAACAAAUGAACAAAACCCUAAAGCUUUUGUUUUUUUUGGGUCCUACUGGGUGGAGGUGACCAAUUCGAGGAAGAAGAACCAAUGAACCGGGUCCUUCGUGAGAAGAUGGGGCCAGGCCCCACUGUGAGGUGCUCGGUGACUCAGUCAGCACUCCCAUCCACAGACCACUGACUCACUUACGUCCUGUGUGGGGAGAAGUACAAAGCCAGGAACAGAAUCUGGACAAGGCCCCAGACGGCCGGGCCCCACUGCCUCCCUGCUCUCCUUUCCCACCUUCCCGCUCACUCUGGGAGAUAUGCCAGACACAUCCCCACCUCAGGCCUUUGUCUCUGCUGUUCCCCCUGCCGGGAACCCUUAGCCACCGGCUCUUUGCUUGACUGAGCCUCAGCUCCAACAGCACCUCCUCAGAGAAACCUUCCCGACCACCGCAGCCGUCGCUGCCGCUGUGAUCCAGUUUAUUUCCUUCUGAGCGCUUACUUCUGCUCUGAACGAGCCAGCCUGUUCCUGCCCUCCUGCUGGGUCCUCUGCUGCCCCACCACAGUGUAAGCUCCAGGAGGCCCUGCUCCAGCUUGAUGUCACCAUGUCCUUGGUGCCUGGAGUUGCGUGCGGCAUGUGAAAAGCACCCAAUGCACAAGUGCUGUAUGAGUGAGAAAAGGGGCUGGAGCUGACUUCCGCACCAAGGCCUCUGGGCCCCCUUACAGAUUAGCCCUGAGCUAACUGCUGCCAAUCCUCCUCUUUUUGCUGAGGAAGACUGGCCCUGAGCCAACAUCCAUGCCCAUCUUCCUCUACUUUAUACAUGGGACGCCUACCACAGCAUGGCUUUUGCCAACCAGUGCCAUGUCCGCACCCGGGAUCUGAACCAGUGAACCCCAGGCCUCAGAGAAGCAGAACGUGCGAACUUAACCGCUGCACCACCAGGCCGGCCCCACUACUGAUCUUCUUAUUAUCUCCAUAGUUUUGCCUUUUCCAGAAUGUCAUAUAGUUGGAAUUAUAGUAUGUGGCCUUUUCAGACUGGCUUCUUUCACUUAGCAAUAGGCAUUUAAGAUUCCUCAUUGUCUUUUCGUGGCUCGAUAGCUCAUUUCUUUUUAGAGCUGAGUAGUAUUCCAUUCUGCAAGCAUACUAAAGUUUAUUUAUUUCUUCACCUACUGAAGGAUAUCUUGGUUGCUUCUAAGUUUUUGCAAUUAUGAAUAAAGCUCCUAUAAAUGUCCAAGUGCAGGUUUUUGUGUGGAUAUAAAUUUUCAACUCAUUUGGAUGAAUACCAAGGAGCAUGAUUGCUGGAUCACACAGUGACAGUAUAAUUUAGUUUUAUGAUCCCCUUUUCUAGAGUCCCAUUCAUUGCCAAAAUUCUCCAUCUUGUCUUUUAACUCACUGAACAUUUAAUCAUAGUUGUUUUAAAGUCCAUGUCAGAUAAUUCUAUUUUCUGGAUCCCCUUGAAUUUGGUUUUAUUGUUUGUGCGAUUUUUUUUCCCCCCAAUUUUUGGCCAAGUCUUGUUUUUUUGUAAACCUGGACAUUCAAUAUGAAAAAUUACAGAGAUAAUUUGAUCCCCUUACUUUUGCUUCUGGCAGGAAGCUCAGUGGAGACCACUGGAACAGUCCCAGAUUGCCUUAGUCACUGAGGACCUGAGCUGGCUUGCAGUCAGGAUUCAGUCCCUGGGAGGGCUGGUCUAUUUCUUGUUCUUAACAUGCAGCCUUCAGGAGCCCGGCCCAAAGUCUUGGAUGUUUCGUGAACCCCUCCUCCUUGGUAGGUUCCAGACUCCAAGCUCCAUGAGUCUGGUGAGAGCUCUGCUCAGCUUCCUAGCCUCUCAGAUGUCACUUUCAAGUCAGCCAUCACCUUGAGGGGGAAAGUAGCGUCUGUUGCCAGCUUUGCCUCCCUGGGCAUCCAUCCUUUCCUAGACCUCGGCCCCAUGAUUCUUGUAAUUUCUCAUUGCAUUGAUGGUACCUUCAGACAGAUGUGUUUUUCUUUCUAAUUUUAUCCAGUUUUCUAGUGUUCUCAGCAGGAGGAAUGGUCUGAAAUAAUCUACUCCACCAUUGCCGGAAGUCCUCCAAUUAUGUUUAGAGAAAAGUGAAUACUCCUUGUCCUGCCUACCAGCUUCCUGCCAUACCAUUCUCUCCCUUGCUUGCGACACUGUAGUGAAAUGUGGGGCUUUUUCCUAUAACUUGAAUAUGACAAGCUCCUUCAUGCCCCAGCACCUUUGCACCCACUUUCCCCUCUGUCUAGAAUGUUGUUUCCUUUACUUCAUUUUCCAGGCCUCUGUUUAAAUGUCAGUUCUUCUGAGAGGCCUUUCCUGACCUUGCAUUCUAACUCAUUCAGCUGUACACUCACACCCUGUUCCACGUGGCCGCUCUUGUAUACACCCUGCUCUUCCCUUCACACCACUUACCACAAUUUUUAAUUAUAUAUUGAUCUAUUAUCCUUUGUUGGUUGUCUGUCUUCCCACCACAGGGAAGUCCUGCGAGGCCAGGGUUGUCUGAGUUUGGGCUCCCUCACAGGCAGGCCCUGAGAUGAAGAUUAAGCACACGUUGUUUUUUGGGAAUUGCAGGUAAUAGGGAGGGAAGGCAGCCAAGAAGGGGUGCGAUUAUGCAGUGACCACGGUGGGCAGCGGAGCCAUCCUGCGAGAAAGCUGGGGAACAUGGCACAAAACUCAUGCCCAGGCGGGGGCUGGGCAUUUACACACCAGUUCCUGCCAGGCCUGCUGGUGGGGGCUGCUCCUGGGGUCCACAGAGUCCCUGGUGCUGCUGCCCUGCAGCUGGCACAGAGCCCCACAGAGGGGCGGCAGGCUCGGCCUGGAAGGCAUCUGGGCGCAGGGAAGCAGGAGGACCUGAGAGGGUCCACAGGGCCCUGCCAGGACGGCUUCUGUUCGGGGGACCAUUUUAUUCCCAGCCCCAGACACGGGGCCUGGCAGGCAGUAGGAAGUCAAUGAUGACAUGUUGAAUAAGUGCACUUUUAGAACUCCGUGCCAGGUUUAGAACCUAGCUCUCCAAACGGGCUCGCCAUGGUAUUAAAGAUAAUUGUCGGGACCCUGCUGCCGGCCAGGCGCCUUCGAGGGCAGGAAGGGGCUUUCCAUAAGAGCAGAGUAAUCAGAGGAGGGCGCCCCACAGCCUGGAGCCUGGUCUUUUUGAAGAACGAGACUGUGCACCCUGUGGAGAAGAAACGUCUCAGCGACAGUCCUCACGUGCCCCGGGCCAUCCUAGGGGUCAUCCCGCAUAGACUGCACGGGCGAGAAGGCCCCGGUGGAUGGUGCUCUGCCAGCUUGGAGGAGAGCUUCCGCACUCUGCACUGCUCAGAGGCGGCCCCAGCUGAGGCGGGAGCUCCCUGCCACUGCUCCUCCAGGAGAAAACUAGGUCCCGGCCCUCAGAGCGCCUGCUGCCUGGUUGAGAGGACAAGACGUCCCUCUGCGUAGCGCUGGACGAGAAGGACAGGCCCGCACACAACAGCUUGAGGCGAAAACACUCAGACUCGGUUUCUGGUUCCCAGAGUGCACGCUGGGCCGCCAGGCGGAGGAGGCGCUGAGGCAGGAGUCAGUGGUUCUGUUGAUUCAUCUGUAUGAUCUUAGUGCUGUGUUUCAAAGGGCCCGCUCGGUCCAGUGCUGGAUGGGGCCUGCUUGUACAAGGCGCCCUUGUUGGGUUUCAGAGCACCUGACACCUGGAUUGAGAUGCUGACAAGCCCAGGAAGGGGCUGGAAGGAAAGUGGGGCCACCCCUGGGAAACACACCGGGGUCUCCGAUAGCUUUGUCCUGUGUCUCCCACUGUGUUUUGUUUUAUAUGUCGACUUGGCUGGGCUACAGAACCCAGAUGUUUGGUUCAAUACUAGUCCAGAUGCUGCCGUGAAGGUGUUUUUAUGUAAGAUUAACAGUCAAAUCAGUAGACUUUGAGGAAAGCAGAUGAUCCUCCCUAGUGUGGUGGGCCUCAUCGAAUCAGUUGGAGGCCUUAAGAGAAAAUGACUGCGACUCCUGAUGGCCUCUGGACUCCAGCUGUAACAUCGCCUCUUCCCUGGGUCUCCAGCCCGCCAGCCUGCCCUACAGAUCUUGGACUUGCCAGACCCCACAGCUGCAUGAGCC